rnacentral:rRNA from 1 species
AGAGUUUGAUCCUGGCUCAGGAUGAACGCUGGCGGCGUGCCUAACACAUGCAAGUCGAACGGAGCCUUAACCAAAGAAGCAGCCAGCUUGCUGGAAGCGGAAAAGGGAAAGGCUUAGUGGCGGACGGGUGAGUAACGCGUGGGUAACCUGGCCCAUACAGGGGGAUAACACUUAGAAAUAGGUGCUAAUACCGCAUAACAACAGAAAGCGCAUGCUUUUUGUUUGAAAACCAAGGUGGUAUGGGAUGGAGGCGCGUCUGAUUAGCUGGUUGGCGGGGUAAAGGCCCACCAAGGCGACGAUCAGUAGCCGGCCUGAGAGGGUGGACGGCCACAUUGGGACUGAGACACGGCCCAAACUCCUACGGGAGGCAGCAGUGGGGAAUAUUGCACAAUGGGGGAAACCCUGAUGCAGCGACGCCGCGUGAGUGAAGAAGUAAUUCGUUAUGUAAAGCUCUAUCAGCAGGGAAGAAAAUGACGGUACCUGAGUAAGAAGCCCCGGCUAACUACGUGCCAGCAGCCGCGGUAAUACGUAGGGGGCAAGCGUUAUCCGGAUUUACUGGGUGUAAAGGGAGCGUAGACGGCAGUGCAAGUCUGGAGUGAAAGGCGGGGGCUCAACCCCCGGACUGCUCUGGAAACUGUACGGCUGGAGUGCAGGAGAGGUAAGUGGAAUUCCUAGUGUAGCGGUGAAAUGCGUAAAUAUUAGGAGGAACACCAGUGGCGAAGGCGGCUUACUGGACUGUAACUGACGUUGAGGCUCGAAAGCGUGGGGAGCAAACAGGAUUAGAUACCCUGGUAGUCCACGCCGUAAACGAUGAUCACUAGGUGUCGGGGGUUAAAGAACCUUCGGUGCCGCAGCCAACGCAGUAAGUGAUCCACCUGGGGAGUACGUUCGCAAGAAUGAAACUCAAAGGAAUUGACGGGGGCCCGCACAAGCGGUGGAUUAUGUGGUUUAAUUCGAUGCAACGCGAAGAACCUUACCAGGGCUUGACAUCCUACUAACGAAGUAGAGAUACAUUAGGUACCCUUCGGGGGAAGUAGAGACAGGUGGUGCAUGGUUGUCGUCAGCUCGUGUCGUGAGAUGUUGGGUUAAGUCCCGCAACGAGCGCAACCCUUAUUGUUAGUUGCUACGCAAGAGCACUCUAGCGAGACUGCCGUUGACAAAACGGAGGAAGGUGGGGACGACGUCAAAUCAUCAUGCCCCUUAUGUCCUGGGCUACACACGUAAUACAAUGGCGGUCAACAGAGGGAUGCAAAACCGUGAGGUGGAGCGAACCCCUAAAAGCCGUCCCAGUUCAGAUCGCAGUCUGCAACCCGACUGCGUGAAGUCGGAAUCGCUAGUAAUCGCGGAUCAGCAUGCCGCGGUGAAUACGAUGCCGGGCCUUGCACACACCGCCCGUCA